CAGAGAGAUCCCUUGCAAGUUCCACCAUGUGAGGAUACAGGGAGAAAAUGGCAGUCUAUGAACCAGGAAGCAAGUCUUCACCAGAACCCAGCUGUGCUAGCACCCUGAACUCAGGCUUUCAGCCUCCAGAACUAUCCUCAGAGCUUUAUAGCCUUUCAGUUGAGAAAUAUGAAACACUGAAAAUCAAAAACAAAUGCUGGAAAUCUUCUAGAAUGCAAGAUAUUACUAAUAGCCUGUAACUUCUGGGGGAAAACAGGAGGCACCAUGGACCCCAUUCUGCGAAAAACCUCUGUUUUCCCAUAGAACCCCAGGAAUUGACAUGAAAUAAACCUUUCUCAAAAUCUAA
rnacentral:lncRNA from 1 species